GACGAACGCUGGCGGCGUGCCUAAUACAUGCAAGUAGAACGCAGUUGCGAACGGGUGAGUAACGCGUAGGUAACUGCCCCAUAGCGGGGGAUAACUAUGGGAAACGAUAGCUAACACCGCAUACUGUGAGAUGGACCUGCGUUGUAUUAGCUAGUUGGUGAGGUAAAGGCUAAGCAAGGCGACGAUAAAAAGCCGAACUGAGAGGGUGGUCGGGCAAACUGGGAAUGGGACAAGGCCCAGAAGCCUAAGGGAAGCAGCAAUAGGGAAUCUUCGGUAAAUGACGGAAAGCUGGACCAGCAACGGCGCCGGAAUGGAGAAUGUUUUCCGGUCGUUAAGGUCUGUUGUUAGAGAAGCGGUAACUAACCAGAAAGGCACGGCUAACUACGUGCCAGCAGCCGCGGUAAUUC
rnacentral:rRNA from 1 species